rnacentral:rRNA from 1 species
UACGGGGGGAGCAAGCGUUGUUCGGAUUUACUGGGCGUAAAGGGCGCGUGGGCGGUCAGCACAAGUCAGUUGUGAAAUCUCCGAGCUUAACUCGGAAAGGUCAACUGAUACUGUGCGACUAGAGUGCAGAAGGGGCAACUGGAAUUCUCGGUGUAGCGGUGAAAUGCGUAGAUAUCGAGAGGAACACCUGCGGCGAAGGCGGGUUGCUGGGCUGACACUGACGCUGAGGCGCGAAAGCUAGGGGAGCGAACGGG